GAUGAACGCUGGCGGCGUGCCUAAUACAUGCAAGUCGAGCGAACGGACGAGAAUCUUGCUUUUCUGAUGUUAGCGGCGGACGGGUGAGUAACACGUGGAUAACCUACCUAUAAGACUGGGAUAACUACGGGAAACCGGAGCUAAUACCGGAUAAUAUUUUGAACCGCAUGGUUCAAAAGUGAAAGACGGUCUUGCUGUCACUUAUAGAUGGAUCCGCGCUGCAUUAGCUAGUUGUUAAGGUAACGGCUUACCGAGGCCACGAUGCAUAGCCGACCUGAGAGGGUGGUGGGCCACACCGGAGGUGAGACGCGGUCCAGACUCCUACGGGAGGCAGCAGUAGGGAAGCUUCCGCAAUGGGGGAAAGCAUGACGGAGCAACGCCGCGUGAGUGAUGAAGGUCUUCGGAUCGUAAAACUCUGUUAUUAGGGAAGAACAUAUGUGUAAGUAACUGUGCACGGCUUGACGGUACCCAAUCAGAAAGCCACGGCUAACUACGUG
rnacentral:rRNA from 1 species